GGGGCUGAUUGGGGUGCUGGUGCCCUCCGCGGUCUUCAAAACCGCUUGAGACCUGCGUGCCAGGUCUGCUGGGUUCGAUUCCCAGGUGGUCCCGCCA
rnacentral:tRNA from 1 species